rnacentral:rRNA from 1 species
GAUGAACGCUGGCGGCGUGCCUAAUACAUGCAAGUCGAGCGAACGGACGAGAAGCUUGCUUCUCUGAUGUUAGCGGCGGACGGGUGAGUAACACGUGGAUAACCUACCUAUAAGACUGGGAUAACUUCGGGAAACCGGAGCUAAUACCGGAUAAUAUUUUGAACCGCAUGGUUCAAAAGUGAAAGACGGUCUUGCUGUCACUUAUAGAUGGAUCCGCGCUGCAUUAGCUAGUUGGUAAGGUAACGGCUUACCAAGGCAACGAUGCAUAGCCGACCUGAGAGGGUGAUCGGCCACACUGGAACUGAGACACGGUCCAGACUCCUACGGGAGGCAGCAGUAGGGAAUCUUCCGCAAUGGGCGAAAGCCUGACAGAGCAACGCCGCGUGAGUGAUGAAGGUCUUCGGAUCGUAAAACUCUGUUAUUAGGGAAGAACAUAUGUGUAAGUAACUGUGCACAUCUUGACGGUACCUAAUCAGAAAGCCACGGCUAACUACGUG